UACGUAGGGGGCUAGCGUUGUCCGGAAUCAUUGGGCGUAAAGCGCGUGUAGGCGGUCCGGUAAGUCCGCUGUGAAAGUCGGGGGCUCAACCCUCGAAUGCCGGUGGAUACUGUCGGGCUAGAGUGCGGAAGAGGCGAGUGGAAUUCUCGGUGUAGCGGUGAAAUGCGUAGAUAUCAGGAGGAACACCGGUGGCGAAGGCGGGUCUCUGGGCCGAUACUGACGCUGAGGAGCGAAAAGCGUGGGGGAGCAAACAGG
rnacentral:rRNA from 1 species